GACUCAGCCCGCCUGCACCCAGGUGAAAUAAACAGCCUUGUUGCUCACACAAAGCCUGUUUGGUGGUCUCCUCACAUAGAUGAGUGUGAAAUUUGGUGCUGUGACUCAGAUCAGGGGACCUCCCUUGGGAGAUCAAUCCCCUGUCCUUCUGCUCUUUGCUCCAUGAGAAAGAUCCACCUACGACCUCAGGUCCUCAGACUGACCAGCCCAAGGAACAUCACACCAAUUUUAAAUAAGGUAAGCGGCCUCUUUUUACUCUCUUCUCCAACCUCUCUCACUAUCCCUCAACCCCACCAGGCCAAGGAAUGCCCACGUCCUGGGAUUCCUCCUAAGCCAUGUCCCAUCUGUGUAGGACCCCACUGGAAACUGGACCAUCCAACUCUCCCGGCAGCCACUUCCAGAGCCCCUGGAACUCUGGCCCAAGGCUCUCUGACUGACUCCUUCCCAGAUCUUCUUGGCUUAGCACCUGAAGACUGAUGCUGCUCAAUCACCUUGGAAGCCUACAGGACCAUCACAGACACUUUCGGUAACUCUUACAGUGGAGGGCUUAUUGUAGUUUCUCAAAUAUUUCUUCCUCCUUUUUCUUUCUUUUCUGUUUUGGACAGGCUGGGGAGUCCUGCUUAAGACAUAAAUAUACAUUAGCCCAAAGUUUCUGUAGAGGAAAAGAAAAGAACAUCGAAAGCAGAAUAAUAUUUUGAGUAGGUAAUUUCUCAGAGUUUGUUGAUCCCAGUAGCCCCUGGGGAGUAAUGGGAUCACCUUAAUAAUGAUAAUUUAAAGUUUUCUGGCUCUUGUGUCCCCUCCUCAGAGCUUAGCUAAUAAUCCCUUCAAUGUUUUUUUCUUAUCCUACUCUCUCCCUAGAACCCAGACAUACAUCCAUGGCAGGGCCAGACGAACUCAAGUGGCACUUGCCACACUGAACUCAGAAUCACUACAUGAAGCUUAUCGUGCCUGGCUCCUUUUUUGACAAAGUUAAGCUCUCCCAGGAGGCUCCUCAGGUUUUUGCAAGAAGGCUUGGGUUUAUUUGCUCCAUCAGGUUGGCAAAAAUGUUUGGAUCACACUUCCACUCAAGCAACAUGUCUGGAUUCUCAGAGUCUCCUGAUGCAAACAGGUAGGUAUAUCCAGAUGUACGAGAUGAGACUUAUGGAGGCUCACUUGCCCAGAGUUUCUCAGCUGGUCACUUGCUCAGCAGAAGUUGAAUUCUUGAUCCAGGUCUCUGAAGCAUGUGCGAGGUAUUGCUCUAAAGUUUGAGUUAUGAAUUCAAAUGUUGUCAGGGCUCAGGUGAGGAAAAGAGUAAAACUGGCUAGGUGGAGACUGAAGAUUUGGAAGCAAUUUUUGGCAUGGAAGAACUUGAGACCAGCAUUACCAGAUCUUCCCAUUUUUCAAGAGAAACUGAAAAUAUCUUCUCUUUAAUGUGAAAUCUCUGUAUUUAAAAUGCUAUAUAUUAAUUUUUUUAAAUAAACAGGAUUUGGGUUAGGCACAAUUCUCUGGUUAUAUCCUCUGAUCCAAACCAGGGUUCCACCACCAUGAUCUCAGCCAUGAUGUCUCUUUGGCUUCCUCCAAUCUGUAAGAAAACCAAUCUGGGGACUCUACCAGCGGCUAAGUAUGUUUGUUCCAAUUAUGCAGUCUGGAUUUGAAGAAAUAACCACAGGAUGGGUUCUGGGACCCACCAAAUCCACUGUGAGACAGAUUUAAGCUGAAACUACAUUGAUCACCUGACCUCUGUAAGCCUCUACCUGCUCUGACUGGACUGACAUUAUGGGUCUCCCAGAAUCAAUAUACAGUUGACCCUUGAAUAAUAUGAAUUUGAACUACACAAAUCCACCUAUAUGUGGAUUUUUUUCAACAAAUGCAUUAAAAAUGUUUUUGCAACAAUUUGAAAAAAAC
rnacentral:lncRNA from 10 species